GAUGAACGCUGGCGGCGUGCCUAAUACAUGCAAGUCGAACGAACGGACGUGCAGUUCGCUUUUGUGUUGGUGGCGGCGAGCGGGGGAGUAACAAGUAGCAAGCCUACCUAUUGGCCUGGGCUAACUUCGGAAACCCGGAGAUACUGCCGAAUAAUCUUUUGAACCGCAUGGUGCAAGCGUGAAAGGCAGUCUUGCUGUUAGUUGUAGUUGAUGCCGCGCUGCAUUAGCGGGUUGUUAAGGUAACGGCAUACCAAGGCGACGAUGCAUAGCCGACCUGAGAGGGUGAUCGGCCACACUGGAACUGGGACACGGUCCAGACUCCUACGGGAGGCAGCAGUAGGGAAUCGGCCGCAAUGGGCGAAAGCCUGACGCAGCAACGCCGAGUGAGUGAUGAAGGUCUUCGGAUCGGAAAACUCUGUUAUUAGGGAAGAACAGAUGUCUAAGUAGCUGUACAGACCGUGACGGUACCUAAAGAAAAAGCCCCGGCUAACUACGUG
rnacentral:rRNA from 1 species